rnacentral:rRNA from 1 species
UACAGAGGGGGCAAGCGUUGUUCGGAAUUACUGGGCGUAAAGGGCGCGUAGGCGGCCUGCUAAGUCGAACGUGAAAUCCCUGGGCUCAACCCAGGAACUGCGUCCGAUACUGGUUGGCUUGAAUCCGGGAGAUGGAUGUGGAAUUCCAGGUGUAGCGGUGAAAUGCGUAGAUAUCUGGAGGAACACCGGUGGCGAAGGCGACAUCCUGGACCGGUAUUGACGCUGAGGCGCGAAAGCCAGGGGAGCAAACGGG